GCAGGAGCCUGCGUUUAUGGGAUUCAGGCUCAUGAUGGCGCCAUUGUAUCACUAGUCUGUUCGCCGAGUUACGUAAUAUCUCUGGGCUCAGAUGAGAGGUUGUGCAUUUGGGAGAGAUUCCAGGGGCAUCUGCUGAAUUCCAUUAAUGUACUCUAUGCCUAUUCAAUUCUCCUGAUGCUGACUCCGUCGCUUCUCAUAACAACCAAACCAGGUUCGCUGAUUGUCUGGGAUGUGAGGACGGGCGAACCGACACGGGAAGUGAAGUUGGACAGUUCAAACAGCCAAUUGUGCCCAAGGCUGAUAUUGGCGUCAUCAGACUGCGUAAUAUGUGAUUAUGGGAAUGAAUUGAGGAUCGUUCGUUUCCCUUUGGCAGCGGAAAAGAUUGAUUGAUGUGGGAAUAAUAAAAAUAAAUAAAAAUUGUUACAAAUAAUGUUUAGGUAAGGAAAAGACUUUAUUGUAAAAUAGAAAUUGUAAGAGUUUCUCUUUGUGAAUUUAGGGAAAAGAAGAAAAAAGUGAGAACAAUUUUUGUUUGAUUUAUAAUCAAAGUCAUGAACAACACAAAGCUAUUUAAAUUUUAGGCACCAAAUUAAUUUGUGUAUAAUGUCUCUUUUUUAGAAUAAAAAUAAAAGGAUAAUCUAGUUUAAA